CUGGGCCAUGAUUCUCCGCCUGGGGCAUCACCUCCUUCAGAUAAAACUGGAUCAUCUCUGACAAGGCUUGGCAUCCCAGAUAAAGGAACUAAAUGUUCGACAGGUUUAGCAGUUUGUCCAAGGUCAUACAGCCCAUCCAUGAUGGAGUUGGGGUUAAAAUCCAGGUCAACAGUCAUGGUUCAAUGACAGCAAAUGCCAUCGACACAACAUGGAGGAGACGUGAUGCUUGCAAACGUUCCUGGCCAGACAUCCUUCAAUGAGUGACCCAGGGAGCGAAUC